rnacentral:rRNA from 1 species
AGAGUUUGAUCCUGGCUCAGAACGAACGCUGGCGGCAUGCCUUACACAUGCAAGUCGAACGGCAGCACGGGGGCAACUCUGGUGGCGAGUGGCGAACGGGUGAGUAAAGCAUCGGAACGUGCCCAGUAGUGGGGGAUAGCCCGGCGAAAGCCGGAUUAAUACCGCAUACGAUCGAGAGAUGAAAGUGGGGGACCGCAAGGCCUCACGCGACGGGAGCGGCCGAUAUCAGAUUAGCUAGUUGGUGAGGUAAAGGCUCACCAAGGCUCCGAUCUGUAGCUGGUCUGAAAGGAUGAUCAGCCACACUGGAACUGAGACACGGUCCAGACUCCUACGGGAGGCAGCAGUGGGGAAUUUUGGACAAUGGGGGCAACCCUGAUCCAGCCAUUCCGCGUGAGUGAUGAAGGCCUUCGGGUUGUAAAGCUCUGUGGGGAGAGACGAAAGAAUCGGUUCUAACAGGACCGAAGUUGACGGUAUCUCCUUAGCAAGCACCGGCUAACUCUGUGCCAGCAGCCGCGGUAAGACAGAGGGUGCAAACGUUGCUCGGAAUCACUGGGCGUAAAGGGCGUGUAGGCGGGAAUGUAAGUCGGGCGUGAAAGCCCCAGGCUCAACCUGGGAACUGCACUCGAAACUGCGUUUCUUGAGUAUCGGAGAGGAAAGCGGAAUACCUGGUGUAGAGGUGAAAUUCGUAGAUAUCACGUGGAACACCAGUGGCGAAGGCGGCUUUCUGGACGAUUACUGACGCUGAGACGCGAAAGCGUGGGGAGCAAACAGGAUUAGAUACCCUGGUAGUCCACGCCGUAAACGAUGAGUGCUAGUGCUGUGGGUAUUGACCCUCGCGGUGCCGAAGCUAACGCAUUAAGCACUGUCGCCUGGGGAAGUACGGUCGCAGA